rnacentral:rRNA from 1 species
UACAGAGGGUGCGAGCGUUAAUCGGAAUUACUGGGCGUAAAGCGUGCGUAGACGGUUAUUUAAGUCAGGCGUGAAAGCCCCGGGCUCAACCUGGGAAUUGCAUUUGAGACUGAAUAGCUAGGGUGCGGAAGAGGGAAGCGGAAUUUCCGGUGUAGCGGUGAAAUGCGUAGAUAUCGGAAGGAACACCAGUGGCGAAAGCGGCUUCCUGGUCCAGCACCGACGUUCAGGCACGAAAGCGUGGGGAGCAAACAGG